UACGUAGGGUGCAAGCGUUGUCCGGAAUUAUUGGGCGUAAAGAGCUCGUAGGCGGUUUGUCGCGUCUGCUGUGAAAACUGGAGGCUCAACCUCCAGCCUGCAGUGGGUACGGGCAGACUAGAGUGCGGUAGGGGAGAUUGGAAUUCCUGGUGUAGCGGUGAAAUGCGCAGAUAUCAGGAGGAACACCGGUGGCGAAGGCGGGUCUCUGGGCCGAUACUGACGCUGAGGAGCGAAAAGCUGGGUAGCGAACAGG
rnacentral:rRNA from 1 species